rnacentral:lncRNA from 1 species
GCCGAGGGUUACACCUGCGACUGUUACCACGGAUACGAGCUGGACCUGACGGCCAUGACCUGCAUUGACAUAAACGAGUGCGAGGGCGGCGUGCGGCUGGAGUAUCCGUGUGUCAACGCUCGCUGCGUCAACACCGAGGGCUCAUACCGCUGCGUGUGUCGCCGUGGAUACGUGCUGUCACAGCGGCCGCAUUACUGUGUGGCCGCGUGAACCACAUCUCCCCCUAUAGCCCCAUCACUGAACUACAGCGCCCCCUACAGGGCCAUCGCUGAACUACAGCUCCCCCUACAGCCCCAUCACUGAACUACAGCCCAUCACUGAACUACAGCGCCCCCUACAGCCCCAUCACUGAACUACAGCGCCCCUUACAGACCUAUCACUGAACUACAGCGCCCCUUACAGACCUAUCACUGAACUACAGCUCCCCCUACAGCCCCAUCACUGAACUACAGCCCCAUCACUGAACUACAGCUCCCACUACAGCCCCCAUCACUGAACUACAGCGCCCCUUACAGACCUAUCACUGAACUACAGCGCCCCUUACAGACCUAUCACUGAACUACAGCGCCCCCUACAGCCCCAUCACUGAACUAACGGCUCCCCCUACAGCCCCAUCACUGAACUACAGCUCCCACUACAGACCUAUCACUGAACUACAGGCCCCUACAGCCCCAUCACUGAACUACAGCUCCCCUACAGCCCCAUCACUGAACUACAGCUCCCCUACAGCCCCAUCACUGAACUACAGCUCCCCCUACAGCCCCAUCACUGAACUACAGCUCCCACUACAGCCCUAUCACUGAACUACAGCUCCCCCUACAGCCCCAUCACUGAACUACAGCUCCCACUACAGCCCUAUCACUGAACUACAGCUCCCCCUACAGCCCUAUCACUGAACUACAGCUCCCCCUACAGCCCCAUCACUGAACUACAGCUCCCCUUACAGACCUAUCACUGAACUACAGCUCCCACUACAGCCCUAUCACUGAACUACAGCUCCCCUACAGCCCCAUCACUGAACUACAGCUCCCACUACAGCCCUAUCACUGAACUAGAGCUCCCCUACAGACCUAUCACUGAACUACAGUGCCCCCUACAGCCCCAUCACUGAACUACAGCUCCCCCUACAGCUCCAUCACCGCUCUCGUUUCAGCUGUAUUCACUUCAAGUCAGUUCAGUCGCAUUCACAGGCUCUCGCUCCAAAAG